UACAGAGGUCUCGAGCGUUGUUCGGAUUCAUUGGGCGUAAAGGGUGCGUAGGUGGCGCUGUAAGUCGGGUGUGAAAUUUCGGAGCUUAACUCCGAAACUGCAUUCGAUACUGCGGUGCUUGAGGACUGGAGAGGAGACUGGAAUUCAUGGUGUAGCAGUGAAAUGCGUAGAGAUCAUGAGGAAGACCAGUGGCGAAGGCGGGUCUCUGGACAGUUCCUGACACUGAGACACGAAGGCCAGGGAAGCAAACGGGG
rnacentral:rRNA from 1 species